CCUGUGCCUUCUCCUCUGCCCCUCCAGGCUUCCAGCCCUUCCUUAAAAUCUACCAGUCCAUGCAGCUUGUCUACACGUCUGGAGUCUAUCACAUUGCAGGCCCUGGUCCCCAGCAGCUUUGCAUCAGCCUGGAGCCGGCCCUCCUCCUCAAAGGCGAUGUCAUGGUAACAUGUUAUCACAAGGGUGGCCGGGGCACAGACCGGACCCUCGUGUUCCGAGUCCAGUUCCACACCUGCACCAUCC
rnacentral:sRNA from 1 species